GCAGUUCUCCUGCCUCAGCCUCCUGAGUAGCUGGGAUUAUAAUUUUUGUAUUUUUAGUACAGAUGGGGUUUCACCAUGUUGCCAGGCUGGUCUCAAACUCCUAACCUCAUGAUCCGCCCUCCUUGGCCUCCCAAAAUGCUGGGAUUACAAGCAUGAGCCACUGCGCCUGGUCUUAAAAUGAUUUUUUUACUGUCCUUUAGUUUCUGUCCUUGAAUGAAUAAACAAAGAUGUUAGAACAAAAAUUCCAGUCUUUGCAGGAAGAAAACUUUUUAAAAAAUCUUUCAUCAUCAGUAAGUUCUACACAUAAGUGCUUCACAUGUGAAGCAGUAGAAUUGAGGCGGAAUUUUUAAAUGCAGAAAAGUUGAGGAAGAACCUUAACAUUUAAGAUCUAAUAUAAAACCAAGCCUGUGGGGUGGGGGGGAACCAAAAAAACAACAACAAAAAAACACCCUCUCGGUGCUGUCCAAGGUUCUGAUCGUUUCAGCCAUAUUGGCUUGUCCACAUAAAAUCAAUUAAAAACCUUGUUUUCAAACUUCAGAUUUUUUUUCUUGUGUUUGUAUGACACAAUAUCUGUUUCCUCUUUCCUACACACUUUAUAUAUUUAUUUAUAUUUUGAGGUCAAAUAUUAUGUGAUACUUUGCAAUAUGAAUUUCAUAUACCAUCCACAAUAUAAAUGAAUUUGUAAGCUUUUGCUGUAAA
rnacentral:lncRNA from 10 species